UACGUAGGGCGCAAGCGUUAUCCGGAAUUAUUGGGCGUAAAGAGCUCGUAGGCGGCUUGUCGCGUCGACUGUGAAAACCCGUGGCUCAACCAUGUGGUCUGCAGUCGAUACGGGCAGGCUAGAAUUCGGUAGGGGAGACUGGAAUUCCUGGUGUAGCGGUGAAAUGCGCAGAUAUCAGGAGGAACACCGGUGGCGAAGGCGGGUCUCUGGGCAGUAACUGACGCUGAGGAGCGAAAGCGUGGGGAGCGAACAGG
rnacentral:rRNA from 1 species